rnacentral:rRNA from 1 species
UACGGAGGGUGCUAGCGUUGUUCGGAAUUACUGGGCGUAAAGCGCACGUAGGCGGCUUUGUAAGUUAGAGGUGAAAGCCCGGGGCUCAACUCCGGAAUUGCCUUUAAGACUGCAUCGCUAGAAUCGUGGAGAGGUGAGUGGAAUUCCGAGUGUAGAGGUGAAAUUCGUAGAUAUUCGGAAGAACACCAGUGGCGAAGGCGACUUACUGGACACAUAUUGACGCUGAGGUGCGAAAGCGUGGGGAGCAAACAGG